rnacentral:lncRNA from 1 species
UGAAUGUGUCAUACAUUUUUCACGUUGUAGUGUUGUUGUUGUUGUUCCGAUUAUAGAAACCAAAGAACAUGCCACAAUGUAUGCAUGUACAUGUACAGUCUAAACCGACGAAAUGUGGUUGAUUUGAAAACAAAUGACAUAUGAAAACAUAUGACACGACAAUAAUUAUUUUCAUUAAUUUGUGCUAGAUACUAUACUAUCCUUAAAGCCUUAACCAUAAACCUCACCCCAACCCAUUCUAAACCUAAUACAGUACUAGCUCUAACCCUAACCAAGAACAUCCCCAUACCUUACCAUAACCAAGAAUGCACACUAACUUUAAAGUAUGAGGGUAGUAAUUAAUUCCCUUUACCUUGGGUCUCAUAAGGGUCUAAUCAGGAUGUGGGAUUGGAUGAUUUUUUUUAUAGGAUGACAAGGGAAUGUCAGAUAAUUAAGCAUGAAAACAAUGUCCAGGGUGAUGCGGGAAAUUACAUGUGCUAUUAUGGCAACGAGAAGCGGGAUACAGGAUUUUCACUAACCAA